CAGAGCCCAAUGCUGCCAGAACUCACAAGCCGUGAGAUUGUGACCUGAGCUGAAGUCCUGCGAUUAACACCCGAGCCACCCAGGUGCCCUUAACUCUUCCCUCUUGAUAUUCGCAUCCCGUGCACUUUUCUCCACCUUGAUGCACGCUGACCAGUACAAUCUUAUGACUGAGAGAACAUGGAAACGAUGAGGUGUUACUUUGGAGGCUAGGUCAUAGAAGGCAUUGCCAGUUGUGCCUUCCUCUGUCCUGGAUCACUGGCUCUGGGAAAGACAGUUGUCACAAACACAGUUAAGCAGCCUCGUGAAGAGAUCUUUGUGGUGAAGAACUGAGGCCUCCUGUCAACGGCCAUCACCAGAUUGCUAGCUCUGUCCACAUUCCAUUUUGGAAUUGGCUCUUGCUGCCCCCACCAAGCCUUCAGAUGAGCACAGCCCUGGCGGACACGUCCCGGGAAACCCUGAGCCACAACUACCCAGCUGGUGAUUUGUAGCUCUGGCUCAGUCCCCAGGGAGCUGAAUCAUGGUGCUUUUGCUAACGAUGCCUCAUGCGGAUACCACGUGCUCCCUCUUUGCCCAGAAUGCCUACCUUGGGAUUUGGGAUCUCCGACUACACUGGACAACCUUGCCCAUAACUCCAUGGCCCCUGACCCUGGCCUCCAGAUGCGGGACCUCCGUGUUCUUCACCGUCUGCUUUUACUCCAGAUCUUCAGUGUGAAUUGACACAGGCAUCAAAGGAAAUAGCACGUAAAAGAAACAGCACAGAGUUCCCCACUGAUUUUCUACAACAUGAGAACAAUUAUUCUACAGACUCCGUUAUAACUGCUCGGACAUUAUCCGUUGCUCAGCUGGGAGAGCUCAGCCUGCAAGG